AUUGAACGCUGGCGGCAGGCUUAACACAUGCAAGUCGAGCGGGGUGAUGGUGCUUGCACUAUCACUUAGCGGCGGACGGGUGAGUAAUGCUUAGGAAUCUGCCUAUUAGUGGGGGACAACAUCUCGAAAGGGAUGCUAAUACCGCAUACGUCCUACGGGAGAAAGCAGGGGAUCACUUGUGACCUUGCGCUAAUAGAUGAGCCUAAGUCGGAUUAGCUAGUUGGUGGGGUAAAGGCCUACCAAGGCGACGAUCUGUAGCGGGUCUGAGAGGAUGAUCCGCCACACUGGGGAUGAGACACGGCCCAGACUCCUACGGGAGGCAGCAGUGGGGAAUAUUGGACAAUGGGGGGAACCCUGAUCCAGCCAUGCCGCGUGUGUGAAGAAGGCCUUAUGGUUGUAAAGCACUUUAAGCGAGGAGGAGGCUCUUUUGGUUAAUACCCAAGAUGAGUGGACGUUACUCGCAGAAUAAGCACCGGCUAACUCUGUGCCAGCAGCCGCCGUAA
rnacentral:rRNA from 1 species